rnacentral:rRNA from 1 species
GAUGAACGCUAGCUACAGGCUUAACACAUGCAAGUCGAGGGACCGGCGCACGGGUGAGUAACACGUAUCCACCCUGCCCUUUACUCGGGGAUAGCCUUUCGAAAGAAAGAUUAAUACCCUAUAUAAAGGAUGGGGAUGCGUUCAAUUAGGUUGUUGGUGAGGUAACGGCCCACCAAGCCUUCGAUGGAUAGGGGUUCUGAGAGGAAGGUCCCCCACAUUGUAACUGGGACACGGUCCAAACUCGUACGAGAGGCAGCAGUGAGGAAGAUUGGGCAAUGGGCGGUAGCCUGAACCGGCCAAGUAGCGUGAAGGAUGAAGGCUUAUGGGUCGUAAACUUCUUUUAUAUAAGAAUAUGUAUUAUAUGAAUAAGGAUCGGCUAACUCCGUGCCAGCAGCCGCGGUAAUAC